rnacentral:lncRNA from 1 species
UUCAGGUCAUAACAUAAUGAACCUACACUGAUUUUAAUUGAAUAGAAAAUGAGGAAUACAAGCAUCCAUAUUGUGCAAAUUACAGGUCGCUAACAUUUUAAUUUUAUCCAAACUGAUUCAACUUACUGGAAUCCAAUAAGGAAUAGAACAAUGGCACUAACAUUUCAUUUUCUAUAUAGAAACAAUUCAACUUACUGGCACUAACCUUAGUAAAAUUAACCGAUCCAUUCAUACAAUCAGUUUCCUCGCGAAGGCAAAGUAAUAAUGUGUGCAACCCAAGAGGGGACUUGACACUAUUUAUCAAACAAAGCUUAGUGGAGUCAAACUCAUCUCAUAGCUCUAGCAGCAUGCGUCAUGCACAACCAAACUGCAUCUUGCAGUCAAGUAGCUACAGUAGCUUCUGAUUUCCCUGCUCGGACUUUAGCAUCCACGCCAAGAAAAUAUACUUAACAGGUCAACAAUUUUUGGGGUAUACAUCAUGUUCAUCCUACGUGGAUGCGGUCAUAGGUACUGCUCAUUUGUUAGACUCAAGUCUGGUCAGCAACUACCACAUGUAUUCCAUUGUGUUCGCUGCAAAAAUAGAAAUAGCAUGAAUUCUUAAAAGGCAAAAUUGCAAGCUGUGCAUUACCUGUAAAGUCGACUAUCAAGUAGAACAAGGACCAAGUACAAAGACAGAGAUAAUGUAUAGGUUCAGCUUCUCAAUCGAAUUCACUCCAUACAGAGAGAUGUGCUCCUGUAGCUAACAUUCAUUCUACAUAAGGCCCCAUUUAGUAUAUCUAAUCAAAUGGCCAGAGCUAAUGAACUCGACACCUACUCAAAUUCUGCUCCACCACCUACUCAAAUUCCACUCCACCUGCUCCCAUUUAUUCCUCUCCUCUGUCCAUAAUUACAAUCUUCUCUCUUAUGUUCCUGACAUGAACAAUAUACUACAUAAAUAUUUGGUGUAUCAUAAAAUGGACUACAUCUGCUUGUAGUCUCACAUGUUUCAAUUUUUUUUACAAUAUGCUAAUGCAGCCCUACAUGAUAAAUUGCAUUCUUGUACUACUUCUCUAUCCCCAACUUCUAACUCGUCUUUGUUAUGUUCAGAUAAAUGAUUUCAUGACGACAUCCUAAUCUAGAGUACAUAUUUUGUUGUAAUACGUAAAGCUGAUAAGAAUAGAGAUUACCCUGAAACCAAUUGAUGUUUGACCUAAACUGAAGCAAAAUCUUGAAAAAAGAAAUCAAGCAUCAACAACACAGUAGUAGUUGAUCAAGAAUUCUAUUGACAAAUAAAGUGUUCAUUGUACCCUUAUGUACAAGGUUUUACCUGAUUUGUAGGUAUUUUAGAUGUCCCAAUCUGACUGAGGGGUGGAUUUCGGUCACCUAAGCUUUGUGCAAUAUCUCCCUCACCAGCGUGAAACAACAGUCACCACCUGCACGGAAUAGGAAUGGAAAGAUAUUAAUGUGGGUGGAAGAAGGGAUAGUACAGGAAAGGGGCAAAACAAAGACAGAGGCCAACCUAGCCGAGAACUGUGCUGCCAGGGUAAGACAGUGAUUCAGUAGAAAAGGAGCAAGGACGGUCAUUGAGAGGGACAAGCGAGGGAGCUUAUAUUAUUACAGUACAACACAUGUUGGAAAAUAGAAAGACACCCACCUUCUUUAAUCGCCGUCAAUGACGGGCAUACAUCAUCCACCAUG